GACAAAUGUGGCAAGCGUUGUUCGGAAUCACUGGGCAUAAAGAGCACGUAGGCGGUAUAGUAAGUUAAGUGUGAAAUCCCUCGGCUUAACCGAGGAACUGCACUUAAUACUGCUAUACUAGAGUGCAGAAGAGGAGAGUGGAAUUCUAGGUGUAGCGGUGGAAUGCGAAGAUAUCUAGGAGAAGGCCGGUGGCGAAAGCGACUCUCUGGUCUGCCACUGACGCUGAGGUGCGAAAGCAUAGGUAGCGAACGGGAUUAGAUACCCCCGUA
rnacentral:rRNA from 1 species